CUUGGCUGUUUGUCUUUUUCAUUUUACCUUGUAAAUCCAAGACAAAGGAUUCCAUUCGACCAUGUUUACAGCAAGGCACUGCAAAGUUGGUUUU